rnacentral:rRNA from 1 species
UACGUAGGGUGCAAGCGUUGUCCGGAAUUACUGGGCGUAAAGCGUGCGUAGGUGGUGAGUUAAGUCUGUCGUGAAAGCCCCGGGCUCAACCUGGGAAUGGCGAUGGAUACUGGCUCGCUAGAGUGCGGUAGAGGAGAGUGGAAUUCCCGGUGUAGCAGUGAAAUGCGUAGAGAUCGGGAGGAACAUCAGUUGCGAAGGCGGCUCUCUGGACCAGCACUGACACUGAGGCACGGAAAGCGUGGGGAGCAAACAGG